rnacentral:misc_RNA from 1 species
CCGAGAUUUUUUCCUGCUUGUCAGGAAAUCUCCCACCCUUUGUGUACCAAAUUUUAUUACUUUGGUGAAGCGUUUCUGCAAAGAAACCAUCGACUCUGUAAAGGAGUGGGUGUGUCUUCACCAAAGGAACCAUUAACUCUAUUAUUUUAUCAAUUGUCUGAGUUUAUAUUUUAAAUAAACA